rnacentral:tRNA from 1 species
GGCGGCAUAGCCAAGUGGCUAAGGCAGCGGUCUGCAAAACCGUUAUUCGCCGGUUCAAGUCCGGCUGCCGCCUCCA